CCCGUCCUCAUCUAAAAAGGGAUCCGUCUUAGGGGUCAGGAUCCACCCCAUCACAUGAUGGUCAAGGAUGAGGAGCAAGCCAGAACGGAGUGAACCUCGCCAAACGCUCGGCGCGCCGUGAACGUGCCCCGGGGUGCCCCGGCGCGCUGAAGCUGGCGCCGCGGCGGCAGGGCGGUGGCCGGCUCCGGGGACACAGCGCCGCACUCCACUGCCUCUCGACUCCCAGCGCAGCUCCUCCGGGGGCCGCGGCUCUGAGCUUGUCCGCCGCCGCCCCGCGCCCGCCAAUUAGGAGGCGGAGGCGGACUCCGGGCACGCCUCCCCUGUGACGUCACGCAACAGUCCAGGAAGCCCCGCCCAGUGGCCUUGCCUGGGAAAGGCCUCGGUGGCGGGCGGUGGAUGCGAGCUCUAGAUCCCCGUGGCUCCGGUCUGGAAGCACACGCUGUAGGCCUGGAAGUAAGACCUGACUGCAGAGGGUCCUGAUUGCUCUGCUGGGGAGUUUGGAGAUCCCAGCAUUGCAGGACGGAGGGCCUGCAGUGCAAGGGAGAGGAGGGGCAGGCCCUGCAGGGAUCCUCAGGAUUGACCACUCCUGUGAGCUUCAGGAGCUCCUGCUGUAGAGCACAGUGUUCUCAGCAGCCGGCACAGUGCCUGACAGACUGAGGGCCCCAUAAAUGCCUGAAGAAUGAAAGCAAGGAGUCCUCCUGCAUAGACCCAUGGGAUCCUGUGGUAAGAAGAGUGUCCCCUUAAAGACGGGUCAUUUUCAGUGUCAUUCAGCCUGACAAGUGCUGAAGCCUCAAAUCUGAAAUCCUGGGGGCAGAGCUGUCUGUCUCUCUCUGGCCUUGAAGCUAUUCACGUGAAUAAGAUGCCAAGGGAAGGGACGUCUGGAUGGCUCAGUGGCUUAAAG